rnacentral:rRNA from 1 species
GACGUAGGAUGCGAGCGUUGUUCGGAUUUAUUGGGCGUAAAGCGUACGUAGGCGGCUGCCUAAGUCUGGUGUUAAAGCUAGAGGCUCAACCUCUGUGAUGCACUGGAAACUGGGCGGCUUGAGAGCGGUAGGGGAAGGUGGAAUUCCGAGUGUAGCGGUGAAAUGCGUAGAUAUUCGGAAGAACACCGGUGGCGAAGGCGACCUUCUGGGCCGUUUCUGACGCUGAGGUACGAAAGCUAGGGGAGCAAACGGG